AGAGUUUGAUUAUGGCUCAGGAUGAACGCUGGCGGCGUGCCUAAUACAUGCAAGUCGUACGAGGGAAGUCCAGCUUGCUGGACGGAACGAGUGGCGAACGGGUGAGUAAUACGUAAGCAACCUGCCUGCAAGGACUGGGAUAACACCUGGAAACGGGCGCUAAUACCGGAUAGGUAACAAAGGGGCAUCCCUAUGUUAUUAAAGGUUAGAAACACAAGCAGAUGGGCUUACGGUGCAUUAGCUAGUUGGUGAGGUAACGGCCCACCAAGGCGAUGAUGCAUAGCCGGCCUGAGAGGGUGAACGGCCACAUUGGGACUGAGACACGGCCCAGACUCCUACGGGAGGCAGCAGUAGGGAAUUUUCGGCAAUGGACGAAAGUCUGACCGAGCAACGCCGCGUGAGUGAAGAAGGUUUUCGGAUUGUAAAGCUCUGUUGUAAGGGAAGGACAGCACGGAAAGAAUCCGUGAAUGACGGUACCCUACCAGAAAGCCACGGCUAACUACGUGCCAGCAGCAGC
rnacentral:rRNA from 1 species